AAAAAAGCCAACCUUUCCUCAGGUUUUUCUCUAUUAAGCUAACGAGAUAACGCAAAUAUGAAGAGGUAACUAGGCUUGUAGUGACGAAAACAUGAUGAGUUCAGAAGAAAAAGACGUCUUAUGUUCAAAUGAGGGUAUGGAAGAGGAUGAGGUCAAAGAUGAAGUCCUCAUUUCCCUUUGUGAGUCAAG